rnacentral:rRNA from 1 species
AGGACGAACGCUGGCGGCGUGCUUAACACAUGCAAGUCGAACGGAAAGGCCUGCAGCUUGCUGCGGGUACUCGAGUGGCGAACGGGUGAGUAACACGUGGGUGAUCUGCCUUGCACUUCGGGAUAAGCUUGGGAAACUGGGUCUAAUACCGGAUAGGACAGCUGUUUAGUGUCAGUUGUGGAAAGUUUUUUCGGUGCAAGAUGAGCUCGCGGCCUAUCAGCUUGUUGGUGGGGUAAUGGCCUACCAAGGCGUCGACGGGUAGCCGGCCUGAGAGGGUGUACGGCCACAUUGGGACUGAGAUACGGCCCAGACUCCUACGGGAGGCAGCAGUGGGGAAUAUUGCACAAUGGGCGGAAGCCUGAUGCAGCGACGCCGCGUGGGGGAUGAAGGCCUUCGGGUUGUAAACUCCUUUCGACAGGGACGAAGCGUAAGUGACGGUACCUGUAUAAGAAGCACCGGCUAACUACGUGCCAGCAGCCGCGGUAAUACGUAGGGUGCGAGCGUUGUCCGGAAUUACUGGGCGUAAAGAGCUCGUAGGUGGUUUGUCGCGUCGUCUGUGAAAUUCCGGGGCUUAACUCCGGGCGUGCAGGCGAUACGGGCUGACUUGAGUGCUGUAGGGGAGACUGGAAUUCCUGGUGUAGCGGUGAAAUGCGCAGAUAUCAGGAGGAACACCGAUGGCGAAGGCAGGUCUCUGGGCAGCAACUGACGCUGAGGAGCGAAAGCAUGGGUAGCGAACAGGAUUAGAUACCCUGGUAGUCCAUGCCGUAAACGGCGGGCGCUAGGUGUAGGGGGCUUCCACGUCUUCUGUGCCGUAGCUAACGCAUUAAGCGCCCCCGCCUGGGGAGUACGGCCGCAA